UACGAAGGGGGCUAGCGUUGCUCGGAAUCACUGGGCGUAAAGGGUGCGUAGGCGGGUCUUUAAGUCAGGGGUGAAAUCCUGGAGCUCAACUCCAGAACUGCCUUUGAUACUGAGGAUCUUGAGUUCGGGAGAGGUGAGUGGAACUGCGAGUGUAGAGGUGAAAAUUUCGUAGAUAUUCGCAAGAACACCAGUGGCGAAGGCGGCUCACUGGCCCGAUACUGACGCUGAGGCACGAAA
rnacentral:rRNA from 1 species